rnacentral:lncRNA from 1 species
GAAUUCUCGCGAGAGUCCGUCAGUCCGGGACGAGGUACUGAGAAACUUUUUUUUUUGUACCUUUAAUUGGUGCGUUCGGCUGAAAGGCGGGGCCUGGUAAAAAAAAAAAAACAGAACUGCUGCUGAGGCGGAGGAGAGGACUUAAGGACUAUGGGUUUAUCCUCUGGCCGGACCAAAGAGAAGAUAUUUACUCCAGUGAGUGCGAAGUGAGUGCCUCGUUCACACCCACAGUCGCGCCGUCCCCUCUUCCCGCUCUGGGGCCAGCAACUCUUGUUAGAAUGCAGAUGCCUUUUGUCCAUGGACUGUGAGGCAGCAGACACUCUCUGCGUAGGAUCAUCAUGCCGAGCAUAAACUGGACUUUCCCACUUGCCUGGCAGGAGUCACACAGAUCCCUGCGUGCUAAAUGAACAUCUGAGGU